AAUUAAUUUGCUUCUGUUUAGGUAUCGUUUGUCGUUAAAGCUGUAUCAGCUUUGACCGCUGGGUUUCGAUUGGUCCAGCUCGCCAGCUGCGGUCAUGACCGGCUUCCUAGCUGUCUCAGAACGGUCAGGCCAGGGCUUCAUGAGGAUAUCCUGAAGAACCUGCACAAGCUGUCCUUCACGAGCAUGUCGGGUGGAGGGGAGAUGGAGGGGACCAGGCAGCACUUCACCAAGUCUGGGAGGUUGGUCGCCAACAAGCAGAUCCUUUACAUCAUCAACUAUCAGGAGGGGAUCAUACCGGUCGGAUGGUACUCUGAAGAUGAUGGCUUGAACGUGAAAGAAAAUAUUUUUGAUAAAAGCGACGAUUCAACGGAUUCAACAGAUUC